CGAUCGCCAGGUGUUCCGUGGUCGGGUUUUACGGAGCGAAGGGAAACGCGAACGAACAACACACAGCGGAAGUGGGCCCCAACCAACCCACACUCUCACAUCCACAAGCGCACGCCUGUUUCUUCUCCCAAAUCCACCGCUGCGUUCGUCGAUCCGCGGCGCCGGCCGCGCCGCACUCCGCGAGCGCCUGCUUGUCUCCCCAGCCGGCGUCAGCGGCCAAGGUGACAGAUCCACAGGCUUCUCCCCCGCCCUAGAUUUUCGCUCGCCGAAUCCGUCGGCUCCUUGCUGCCGUCGCCUUCGCGGUCGCCGCGAUUCUCGACUCCGGCGACCUCCUCCCAGCCUCCCGCGACAAGGCCGUGUCCGUGUUGGCCGCCUUCACGUCCUCCGAAGGCGAGUGCACACCCAUCUCCAUGAGGAAGGCGAGCGCGCACCACCCCCACGCUCCUCGUACAGUGGCGCUGGCACCGACGCCGUUGUAGCGGGCCUCUUCCUCUCAAGCAUCUCGCCGCAGGCCACAUCAGGGAUGGCCUCGACCUCCUGCUGCUAACUGCUGGUGCUGGCUGUAGCUUGAACUGGAGGUCUGGAGCAGAAAAAUUGCACCGAGGUAGCAGGUGGAUGAUGGUGUUGGUGCCUUUCUCUUGAAUUGUUGCUGGUGAUGGCUGCAAUUUAAAGGAGUAUUUUUUUCCUUUCUCUCCUUCCAUUUCUGUAAUUGUGCUUCCCCUAUGCGUGAUGAUGUUUCUUAGCACAAGGUGCAUUGGCUUGGGUUGAUCUGCUGUGAUAGUUCGGAGAGAUGAUAGUAGCAAGUAUAAACUCUCUACUAUGAUUAUAUUCAUAACACAUGGCAAAAAAGAGACUGCAUUAUUAAGUAAUCUGUUGUUUCGUUAUCAUUCUAAUUCUUUUUUAGCCACUAUACAUGUGUCAUGUAUGAGAACUUGAUAGAUAUUUGCUUAUCUGUGUCCAAGUGAUUACAGCAUAUAAUAAAGCGGGGAAAACAAGAUUUAUAUUGAGCAUUGUUUUUAAGGCGGUAAGGCGACCUAAGGCGAGCACCACCCGCUCUAGCGCCUAGGCGACGCCUAAGGCGGGCAUAUUUGUAAGGCGCUGCCCGGGCGCCUUAUCGCUUAAGCGUCGCCUAAGCAUCCAAUGCAGGACGCCUUAAAAACAAUGAUAUUGAGCUAUUAUACUCAUUUCUUCUAUUGGACUUGCUCAAACUUGCAUGAUUUUUUUGUUAGUAGUUGCCUUGUUCCUGCUAUUGGACUUGCUUAAUGGGUCAACGGGCUGUUUGUAUCCACUAUUUUAUUUUCUUCGGAAAGCAAGCUAAUGAGUUGGCUGCAGAAUCUAUGGAAAUUGUCUACAAACCCAGUAUGAGUUGCUGCCUUUUAAUCCCUUCUCUAAAGAAAACCUGGUUUUCUUGGAUAUAGUAUGCAAUUUGCUUAGAUUAGAGCACAACUUGCCUGCAAUAACUAAAGCAUUUGUCCAUGGGACACAACACAACUUGAUGUUCCGCAUAAUAUAGGUCCACAUUUAUUUGCCUGAAACUUGUAUGCAAAUUGCCUACAAACCAAGUUGUAGUUGCUCCUGACUUUCGCUAUUUAUUUUAAUUCGGCUAGCAAGCUGAUGAGGUUGCUACAUUAUCUAUGGAAAUUGCCUACAAACCCAAUACGAGUUGCUACCUUUCAAUCAUUUUUUAUAUGUGGUGCAUAUACUGGUUAGUAGUCUCCAUGUGUUUGUUAUUUUUUCAUAAUAAUUGCCUCAAAUUUCGUAUGUAGUUGCCUCAAAUAACACAUGAACCUUGCUCUUCAUUUAUUUUCCUUAACAUUUCAUAAUAAUUGGGGUAAUUUUAUACUUGAAGUUUAAAUGUGACAACACAUUAUCAUUGUAUGUUUUAUCUCUUGUUUUGCUACAUUGGGAUUUUUUUAAUUGGGGGUGCCGAAUGGGGGUAUUCUCCCCCCUGUUUUUUACAGCCACGUGCUUUCAUUUUUGAGGCGCCUCAUGUCAAUGACAACACAUGCCUCAGAUGAUUUUGUCCAUGAUGAUCUGGGUACGUUAACAACAACAGAUGCCUCAGAUGAGUCAUGUUUUUGUUAUUUUUCGGUGCGCAUUGGAAGGCGAUUCGCCUGUUUUUUUGGGUUUACUUGCCUAGAAUUGGUAUGUGAGUUGCCAGUAUCCGAGAGACGAUAUCCAGAAAGUCAUCUGAAUGCACUCUUUUUCUUUUUGUGUAGUAGGAACUAAUGGAUGAACCAAGCAAAAAUAGCAUUCAAGAAGAUCAUUAUGCAGUUAAUCGUGAUGCUGAUCCCUCACAUGUGAUUGAAGAUCAUCACGAGGGCCAGAGAAGCACACCCUUUAUUGGGUACCAGCGUUGAGGAAGAAAGGAGAUUGCUGCUAGUGGCAAACGUCUGUUGGACAUCAACAGCAAUUCGAGUGUUUCCACAUAUGGUGAUUGAAAUUCUAAGAAAGACACUGUCAUGGAACAACCAUCAAAAGCAAAAUGUCAAAAGACCGGAUCUAACGAGAAUAAGAGAACAGGGCAUCGCCUGCAAGUCUUUUCAAGCUGAAUAAACUUCUUGUACCUGUUCAACAAGGCCAAGCUCAAGUCACUUUCAGUCAAUUUCUGACACCAGCCUUGUGCAGAUCAUGGGGAAAGGUAAAGGAAGGCUUGUGUUCUUCAGUAACCCAGGGGACAAGGAUGAAAGAGGCACACAAUCAUGGGGGAAAGUGAAAGCUAGAUCUGACCUUUUUCUGUGCUUUUUCUACCCUUAGUCAAUAGGAAUUGCCUGGAGAACAAAUCCUAAACCAACCACCAUUGGAGGAUUGUGGAGAGUUUUCUGUAUCUGGGAGUUGUCCCUUUGUGGGUUGGGAGAGAAGAAGAUGGGGCUGGGCGAUUUGGUGGGGAGACGCCCAAGGGGUGGAGGAGGGAAACACGUGGGGAGGGAGGAUCAGGUGAGUUCCGUGGCUCGAUGGUGCGAGGAAUCGGGAGCGGGGGCCAGGUACUUUCCUAUCCUAGACAGGGGGGACAGAAAAUUACUAUUUUGGAAGGGCUGCUAGGGAACGCUAGGGAGCAGCCGACUGCUCCCUAGACGCGUCCUAGUUUAUUUAGGAUCCCGCUGCUAUUCUGCUACAGUAAUUAGUUUGGCACAGUGGCUACAGCAUCACGUGCAACUAUGGAAGGUCGGGGGUUCGAGUCCUAUCGUGUAUACAUCACAAGAUUUUUUUGCGAAUUUUUCAUUCCUUGAAGGACAA